CAUCUUCUCCCUAUGUCCAAAACUACUUUUCAUCAAAAUGGAUAAAAGGAGAUGUAUCUAAAAUUAAAAUACGUCUAGAUACAUCCCUUUCUAUCCAUUUUGAUGACAAGUAUUUUCGGACAAAGGGAGUAUGUA
rfam:Triticum aestivum genome assembly, contig: Triticum_aestivum_CS42_TGACv1_scaffold_081437_1DS